rnacentral:rRNA from 1 species
UGGGGAAUUUGGGACAAUGGGCGAAAGCCUGAUCCAGCAAUGCCGCGUGUGUGAAGAAGGCCUUCGGGUUGUAAAGCACUUUUGUCCGGAAAGAAAUCCUUGGCUCUAAUACAGUCGGGGGAUGACGGUACCGGAAGAAUAAGCACCGGCUAACUACGUGCCAGCAGCCGCGGUAAUACGUAGGGUGCAAGCGUUAAUCGGAAUUACUGGGCGUAAAGCGUGCGCAGGCGGUUUGCUAAGACCGAUGUGAAAUCCCCGGGCUCAACCUGGGAACUGCAUUGGUGACUGGCAGGCUAGAGUAUGGCAGAGGGGGGUAGAAUUCCACGUGUAGCAGUGAAAUGCGUAGAGAUGUGGAGGAAUACCGAUGGCGAAGGCAGCCCCCUGGGCCAAUACUGACGCUCAUGCACGAAAGCGUGGGGAGCAAACAGGAUUAGAUACCCUGGUAGUCCACGCCCUAAACGAUGUCAACUAGUUGUUGGGGAUUCAUUUCCUUAGUAACGUAGCUAACGCGUGAAGUUGACCGCCUGGGGAGUACGGUCGCAAGAUUAAAACUUAAAUGAAUUG